UCCAUGGCUUGUACGAUGAUACGAUGGUACGAGUGUUUCUAUUUGUUGGAGAUCUGUCAAUUCGUACGACGUCGCACACUUGUUUUCAUCUAUGUAUAGAAACACUUUCGUAGACCGGUCAUUAGUACACGAGCAAAACUAUAUGGUCGAAAAACUGCGCUAUAUCCGAAUGAGGAGAAUCGUUGAUGGCGACCUUUUGAUAGAUGACGUGUCUCCCACAAGGCAUGUCUGGCAACUCAGGGGCUGCAUUGAUGACACAUGUCACCCCUAAAGCCUCGAUGAUAUCAGCACUGAUACAAGCCGCCGAAGUCAAAACCAGGUGAUCAGUCAGUAAAGAGACGUUGGUGUUGAUGGAAUUGAUGGCUUCCGAUGUGAGCAGCCGUGAAAAAAUAUGACUGCAAUCAGAGGUGACUUGAUAAAGCUAUUUGUUAGCAUUGUUUUGUAUAACAAAUGUGGACAUUUCGAAAAUAUGAUUCCGAAAUUAGUACCAGAGGCGUCACGGUCUACGUCAUAAAUAUUUGUUUGAGGCGCGCCAACUUUUUGUAUUCGGAAUCGUCUAAUUUCGUCAGCACACUGAUGAUGAAUUAGUGAUCAACCUGUUGGCAUUCGGAGCCUAAUUUGUUUAGUUACUCGAUUAAAUGUUAAAUCAUCA